rfam:Pseudomonas bauzanensis strain CGMCC 1.9095 genome assembly, contig: Ga0066784_101
GCGUGACGCCGGGCCCCUCUGGCGGUGGUUGGUCCCACCGUGAUGUCGGAGUCAUAAG